rnacentral:tRNA from 1 species
GGUAUAGCUCAGCUGGUAGAGCACCUGGUUGUGGUCCAGGAUGUCGCGGGUUCGAGUCCCGUUAC